UGCCUCCGAGCCCCCCAUCCACACCCCGGCAGCUGCGACACUGAGCAGCAGGCACAAGAGACCCUGGGGUGGACCCCAGAGACCUCCGGCUGCAUUUCAGCCUGGCUCCUUCUUAAUCCCACACUGGACCACUGCAGGUGAUGGAAUGGCAGCUCAAAACUGAUGCAUCAAGCAAGGAAGAUCCCACUCCCACAAGACCAGAACAUGGAGAUGGGGAGGCUCUGAUAAUCCUGAGCUGCAGGGGAGUCCCUAAACCAGGAGAGUGUGUGCAGGUGAGAGGCCUUGGGAUCACCUCCUGGAGGAAGCAAGGUAAAGAGGGUGGAAAAGGAGGAAGCACAGGAGGUAUCUGAAUUCCUGCUCUGAGCUUAAAGAUAAAGCAAUGGCCACCAGUUUCCCUUGAGAAUGGGGGCACUGUCCCCUCCAGAAGGGGAAUGGGGAUUCCUGAACUUACUUUCAGAGGAUCUGGGGGAGCCUGACUGAUUAGAGAAGGCUUUUUUGAAAAAGGGCAGCUACUACUCCUGUUCACAGCUGU